UUUCCGUAGGUGAACCUGCGGAAGGAUCAUUGUCGAAACCUGCAAAGACAGAACGACCCGCGAAUCAGUGGAAAACCAUCCGGGGGACGUGCCCUCCGGGGCCUUUCUCCCAGAGUCCAUGGCGAAGGUUGUGGCUGCGGUUCACGCCUUUCGCUAUGGGCAAAAACUAACAAACCCCGGCGCAAGUCGCGCCAAGGAAAACAGAGAAAGAUGCUGUCCCCGCGUCCCGGAAACGGUGCGUCGGGGAUCACAUCGUCGUUAUCACGAUCCGAACGACUCUCGGCAACGGAUAUCUCGGCUCUCGCAUCGAUGAAGAACGUAGCGAAAUGCGAUACUUGGUGUGAAUUGCAGAAUCCCGUGAACCAUCGAGUUUUUGAACGCAAGUUGCGCCCGAAGCCGUCAGGCUGAGGGCACGCCUGCCUGGGUGUCACGAAAAGUCGUCGAAUGCCCCUGCCCUCCCCCGCACCCUUUGGGCCGAGGGGUGGCGAGGGACGACGGAUGUUGGUCUCCCGUGCGCUCGUACGCGCGGUUGGCCCAAAAAUUAGGCCUGCUCGCGAGGCGGCCACGCGGCACGCGGUGGAUGAAAGCGCUCGCUCUCCUCGAACACCGUCGCGGGCCAGCCUCGUUGACGUUUGGCCAAGAGACCCCGACGCGGAGCGUCAUCGCGAAGCGACCCCAGGUCAGGCGGGACCACCCGCUGAGUUUAAG
rnacentral:rRNA from 1 species